GAGUUUGAUCCUGGCUCAGGAUGUACGCUGGCGGCGUGCUUACACAUGCAAGUCGAACGAACCUUCGGGUUGGUGGCGGACGGGUGAGUAACGCGUGAGAAUCUGCCCUCAGGAGGGGGAUAACGGUUGGAAACGACCGCUAAUACCCCAUAUGCCUAUUGGUGAAAUGAAUUUCGCCUGAGGAUGAGCUCGCGUCUGAUUAGCUUGUUGGUGAGGUAAUGGCUCACCAAGGCUUCGAUCAGUAGCUGGUCUGAGAGGAUGAUCAGCCACACUGGGACUGAGACACGGCCCAGACUCCUACGGGAGGCAGCAGUGGGGAAUUUUCCGCAAUGGGCGAAAGCCUGACGGAGCAACGCCGCGUGAGGGACGAAGGCCUCUGGGCUGUAAACCUCUUUUCUCAAGGAAGAAGAUAUGACGGUACUUGAGGAAUAAGCCACGGCUAAUUCCGUGCCAGCAGCCGCGGUAAUACGGGAGUGGCAAGCGUUAUCCGGAAUUAUUGGGCGUGAAGCGUCCGCAGGCGGCUUUUCAAGUCUGCUGUUAAAACGUGGAGCUUAACUCCAUCAUGGCAGUGGAAACUGAAAGGCUUGAGUAUGGUAGGGGCAGAGGGAAUUCCCGGUGUAGCGGUGAAAUGCAUAGAUAUCGGGAAGAACACCAGUGGCGAAGGCGCUCUGCUGGGCCAUUACUGACGCUCAUGGACGAAAGCCAGGGGAGCGAAAGGGAUUAGAUACCCCUGUAGUCCUGGCCG
rnacentral:rRNA from 1 species